UACGUAGGGGGCAAGCGUUGUCCGGAAUCAUUGGGCGUAAAGAGCGUGUAGGCGGCCCGAUAAGUCCGCCGUGAAAGCCCAGGGCUCAACCCUGGGAUGCCGGUGGAUACUGUCGGGCUAGAGUUCGGAAGAGGCAAGUGGAAUUCCUGGUGUAGCGGUGAAAUGCGCAGAUAUCAGGAGGAACACCGAUGGCGAAGGCAGCUCGCUGGGACGGUACUGACGCUGAGGCGCGAAAGCGUGGGGAGCGAACAGG
rnacentral:rRNA from 1 species